UACGGAGGGUGCGAGCGUUGUCCGGAAUCACUGGGCGUAAAGGGCGCGUAGGCGGCCCGGCAAGUCAGUGGUGAAAGCCCGAGGCUCAACUUCGGGUCGGCCACUGAUACUGCUAGGCUUGAGUCGACUAGAGGCAGAUGGAAUUCCGGGUGUAGCGGUGGAAUGCGUAGAGAUCCGGAAGAACACCGGUGGCGAAGGCGGUCUGCUGGGGUCGAACUGACGCUGAGGCGCGACAGCGUGGGGGAGCAAACAGG
rnacentral:rRNA from 1 species